rnacentral:tRNA from 1 species
CCGGGUGUGGUGCAGUUGGUAGCACGGAUGGUUUGGGACCAUCAGGCCGCAGGUUCAAGUCCUGUCACUCGGACCA